rnacentral:rRNA from 1 species
AUGCCUAAUGAAAUCAAAUUGGAGGGCGUCAAAAAUUAUUUGAGCUGGUCAAGGAGGGCAUUGCUGAUCUUGAAAACAAAGGGACUUGAGAGCUUUGUUAAUGGAGAAGCACUUGAGCCAUUGGACAAGAAAUGUGCAGAAUGGAGGACUUGGAGUACCACCAAUUCCCUGAUUGUGGCAUGGAUAUUAAAUUCCCUAUCUCCAACCAUCGCUACAACAAUUGAGACAAUAUCAAGUGGAACUGAGGUAUGGAAAACUCUUUCAAAAUUGUACUCUGGCGAGGGUAAUGUGAUGUUGAUGGUUGAGACAGAGGAGAAAGUGAGUGAUCUGAGGCAGGGGGAGCUUUGCGUAAUGGAGUAUAUCGCAGAGUUGCAACAUUUGUGGGCUGAUCUAGAUCACUAUGACCCCCUUGAUUUACCUCCUGCAGAAUGCAUAUCGAAUAUGAAGAAGUGGAUUGAGCGCAGACGUGUGAUAUAA